UGGGGAAUAUUGGACAAUGGGGGGAACCCUGAUCCAGCGACGCCGCGUGAGUGAAGAAGUAUUUCGGUAUGUAAAGCUCUAUCAGCAGGGAAGAAAGAAAUGACGGUACCUGACUAAGAAGCCCCGGCUAACUACGUGCCAGCAGCCGCGGUAAUACGUAGGGGGCAAGCGUUAUCCGGAUUUACUGGGUGUAAAGGGAGCGUAGACGGUUACGCAAGUCUGGAGUGAAAGGCGGGGGCCCAACCCCUGGACUGCUUUGGAAACUGUAUAACUGGAGUGCAGGAGAGGUAAGUGGAAUUCCUAGUGUAGCGGUGAAAUGCGUAGAUAUUAGGAGGAACACCAGUGGCGAAGGCGGCUUACUGGACUGUAACUGACGUUGAGGCUCGAAAGCGUGGGGAGCAAACAGG
rnacentral:rRNA from 1 species